rnacentral:lncRNA from 1 species
AUGGGUCCACGGGAAGAGGGCUUUAACCCUUAUUUUAAAACUGUGGAAGAAAGAUUGAUUAAAUUGGGUCGAAGACCUAAUUCACAUUGUACUAAUACAUUAUGUGACAGGAUGGGAUCUUUUUUGUUUUCGGGUUUCAGGAUCAAGCAGAACAGCUUUUUAGAAGUGGACAUACAAACAACUGGGCGGUUUUGGUGUGCACAUCCAGAUUCUGGUUUAAUUACCGCCAUGUUGCCAACACUCUGUCUGUUUAUAGAGUGUCAAAAGAUUAGGCAUUCCUGACAGUCACAUAGUCUUGAUGCUGGCAGACGAUAUGGCAUGUAACCCUCGCAACCCCAAACCAGCUACUGUGUUCAGUCACAAAAAUAUGGAACUAAAUGUUUAUGGAGAUGAUGUGGAAGUGGAUUAUAGAAGCUAUGAGGUAAGUUGUUUUAGAAAUGUUUUGGAAACGUAAUAGAAAAUGAAAUGGAAGCUCGUUUCUAGACUGUAAACUUGUGGACAGAGAACAUAUCUACCAACUCGGUUAUGUUGUACUCUUCCAAGGGCUUAGUACAGUGCUCUGCGCACAGUAAGCACUCGACAAAUACCAUUGAUUGAGGUAUUACCAUUUAAAACAACUUUUUUCUCAUUUUGUUCCACUAAUAUUGUUUUAACAGUAAAUAUCUUUACGGCAAAUAGUUUCAGCAUCUUGUGGUCAGAGUGUCU